AGUAGUUAGGGGUUAGAGGUCAGGGGUCAAGAAGGAAAUGAGGAUACCAUCCAAAGGCCUGUGCUGCUUUGAUCAAAGGGAGAUCCACCUGCAGGAUUAUGUGCUGCAGGAUCAGAGCGGAGGAACUGAAGAACUGUAAAUCAGACUCAGGUCAUCACCUUUCAAGAGGCUGCCAACAGAACCAGCGAGCAGCGUUUCGUACCGACUGCCAGCAGCAGAUCUCUCAGAC